CCCAGAUGGCGGAAUGGUAGACGCGCCAGCUUCAGGUGCUGGUGUCUGUAUGGACGUGGAGGUUCGAGUCCUCUUCUGGGCACCACAUA
rnacentral:tRNA from 1 species